rnacentral:rRNA from 1 species
AUUGAACGCUGGCGGCAUGCCUUACACAUGCAAGUCGAACGGCAGCGGGGGAGAAGCUUGCUUUUCCUGCCGGCGAGUGGCGAACGGGUGAGUAAUACAUCGGAACGUGCCCUGUAGUGGGGGAUAACUAGUCGAAAGAUUAGCUAAUACCGCAUACGACCUGAGGGUGAAAGUGGGGGACCGCAAGGCCUCAUGCUAUAGGAGCGGCCGAUGUCUGAUUAGCUAGUUGGGGGGGUAAAGGCCUACCAAGGUGACGAUCAGUAGCUGGUCUGAGAGGACGAUCAGCCACACUGGGACUGAGACACGGCCCAGACUCCUACGGGAGGCAGCAGUGGGGAAUUUUGGACAAAGGGCGAAAGCCUGAUCCAGCAAUGCCGCGUGUGUGAAGAAGGCCUUCGGGUUGUAAAGCACUUUUGUCCGGAAAGAAAUGGCUCUGGUUAAUACCUGGGGUCGAUGACGGUACCGGAAGAAUAAGGACCGGCUAACUACGUGCCAGCCGCCGCCGUAA